CCCUGGUUGUAUUUCUUCCGCCGCCUUUAGUAGUCAUUUAAAUAAUGGUUCAGUUAGCUGAUCUUUAUGAUUGUUUGAAUAUUGGUGAUCUGGUUUUGGUAGAUCUGUGGAUGCUUUCGUUAUUUAUGCAUGUGAACUGAGGUUUGUGGAUUUGGAUGUUGAUUUUAUGGAUAUCGGAUUUUCUUGUAUUUACAUAUCGUGGUUUUCUAUCCCUCGAGAUAGCUGGUUUUCAAAAUAGAGUUUCCUUGUGGAAAACAGUUUUAAAAAGGUUUUCGAAUGAUUUUCAUGAUGAAUGAAUUAGAGUUUAAAAACAAAAGCUUCCGUGUGGGGAGCACUUUUAAAUAGGAUGAUUGUUGUACUGUACAUCGCAUCAUCCAGCGCCUAAGGAGUGCUUAGAGGCAUGCAUCAUUUCUAAGGAUUGUUA
rnacentral:lncRNA from 1 species